rnacentral:rRNA from 1 species
CACGUAGGGGCGAGCGUUGUCCGGAAUUACUGGGCGUAAAGGGCGCGCAGGCUGUUAUGCGAGUCUGCUGUGAAAUGUACCGGCUCAACCGGUGCCUUGCGGCGGAUACUGCAUAGCUGGAGUACUGGAGAGGGAAGUGGAAUUCCCGGUGUAGCGGUGAAAUGCGUAGAUAUCGGGAGGAAUACCGGUGGCGAAGGCGGCUUUCUGGCCAGUUACUGACGCUCAUGCGGGAAAGCUGGGGUAGCGAACCGGAUUAGAUACCCGGGUAGU